GGGGCUCCGUACUAUAGCCUCCACAGUCACAUGAGCUCAACCCAAAAGAUGACCUUAGGGAUGGAAAAGGGAUUCACAUCAUAGAUGAUAAAUCUGGAGCAGCUGUGUGAUGGGAUCAUGUGAAAAUGGACCAAAAUCUCUGAGGAUGAAUCUAUGCCACAAAGAAUUAAAGCAGUUCUGAAGGCAAGAGGAGGUCAAGUCAGUGCUAGCAAGAUCACUUCACAAAGUGGCCAGUUAUGACAUACAGGCUGAAGGGUGAGGGCUACUCACCAGAGGAGACACCAUCCAAGAAUACCAGAGAUAUGGACAAAGACAAGCUGAACAUGAACCUGCAGGCCAUGGUCUGAAGAAUUUGUUUCAAAGAGCAAGAAAUCAACGUAGAAAGAGGAAAAGAAAUCUGUCUGCUGGGAUUAUAGAAGAGCACCAAGAGGUCAGAAAGGAGGCAACAAAACUCCCCCCAAAAGUUGAAGAAUCCUGUAUGAGGUAACUUAAAGCAAUCAUUCAAAAACAAGUUUGAAUUCGGGAACUUUUACCCCUUGAAGAGUCUUAGGAUGCUUUUAAACAUGUGGCUACUUAUUGUAUACCAACUCAAAAAUGCAUCGUGAUACCGGUUAACACAUUUUCCUUCACUUCUUUCCUUUUGAAGACACGCUCAAAAAUGAUAACAUUUACAUUUAUGGCAGUCAUCACAGAUGCCCCGUGUUCUUCUUUGUCUCCUUCAACCGAUUCCUGGGAACUGGAGCUAAAUGUUAUUGUUUCCACGAUCGUGGAUAUUGGCAACCGGGAACCUCAGCAGAUUGUGAGUGCUUUGGUUGGUUAGGGAGCCUUGCUUGCAUGGCCUUGAGUUAGUCAGCAUGGGCUCAUCCCAUGAAAUAUUGAGGAAGCUGGAAGGGCUGGGCUGGGGCCUCACGUUGGGUGUGUGUGUGUGUGUGUGUGUGUGUUUUUGUGUGAUGGGGAAUGCCUGACGGUGGAAAUAGUGGAUGUUGU